UACGAAGGGGGCUAGCGUUGUUCGGAUUUACUGGGCGUAAAGCGCACGUAGGUGGAUAGUUAAGUGAGGGGUGAAAUCCCGAGGCUCAACCUCGGAACUGCCUUUCAUACUGGCUGUCUUGAGUUCGGAAGAGGUGAGUGGAAUUCCAAGUGUAGAGGUGAAAUUCGUAGAUAUUUGGAAGAACACCGGUGGCGAAGGCGGCUCACUGGUCCGAUACUGACACUGAGGUGCGAAAGCGUGGGGAGCGAACAGG
rnacentral:rRNA from 1 species